GGACAUCCUUAACUAGCUGGUUAUUUACAGAGGAACCCUCAUCCUUUCAAUUGAAAACAAAUUUUGGCUCAUGAACUCAUCUGAAUCUUUUGAAGUCUUUCAUUCCAGCGUCCAAUAAUAGAUGCUCCAUUUUUUCCUUUCUCAUCAUUUAAGUAGAUGAUUCAAUAGUUCAUCAUGAGAUGAUUUUCCAUUUUAGUUUAGUGAGCCAUUAACUAAAUUAAAGAGUGGAGUAUAUUUUUUUUUAAAGCUAAUUGGGCCAGGCCUUAUUAGCCCAGCCGAGGCAUUUCUCGGCUUACCAGAGCAGGGCGGCCAGUUGAGCAAAUUUCAGGCCUUUUUCAGCCCAGCCUGGCCCUGUCCGAUAACACUAUAUAUACAUAAUGGCCG
rnacentral:lncRNA from 1 species